UAAAAGGCUCUUUUCAGAGCCCCUCAAUUCUCCCCAAGAAAGAGUUG
rfam:Loxodonta africana unplaced genomic scaffold scaffold_108, whole genome shotgun sequence.